GACUCCUAAGGAGACUGCCGGUGACAAACCGGAGGAAGGUGGGGAUGACGUCAAGUCAUCAUGGCCCUUACGGCCUGGGCUACACACGUGCUACAAUGGUCGGUACAAAGGGUUGCCAAGCCGCGAGGUGGAGCUAAUCCCAUAAAACCGAUCGUAGUCCGGAUCGCAGUCUGCAACUCGACUGCGUGAAGUCGGAAUCGCUAGUAAUCGUGAAUCAGAAUGUCACGGUGAAUACGUUCCCGGGCCUU
rnacentral:rRNA from 1 species